rnacentral:rRNA from 1 species
CUGAAAGCAUCUAAGCGUGAAGCCCCCUCCAAGAUGAGACUUCCCACAGCGCAAGCUGGUAAGACCCCUCAUAGACGAUGAGGUUGAUAGGUUCGGUGUGGAAGCGCGGUAACGCGUGGAGCUGACGAAUACUAAUCGGUCGAGGACUUAUCCAC